AGUUCUGUAAACAAAUUCUCAACUGCACCAGAAGGCCUGACAGUUAAGAGAACCCAGUGAAGAAACCUUUUGCAGAGAGAGAAAAGAACCCUUUUGAAUGUGAUCAAUCACGCUGAUUUAUUUGGAUGAUUUCUCUUCUGGAUUUCCUUAAACCAGGGAAAACCCAGAGACAGAGGUCUUGCUAUGUUGCCCAGGCUGGUCUCAAGCUCCUGGCCUCAAGCGAUUCUCCUUCCUCAGCCUCCAAAAGUGCUGGGAUUACAGGUGCAACAGUGACCCGUGACGCAGUAGGGAGGGCUGUUUUCCAUGCCCAGUGAGGCCUGCUCAGCUCCCAUUAGGCCUUUAUGGAUGGCCUGCCUCCCAGCUGGUACCUGGUCCCGUCACAGUCCCAGGACUCUAGACCUCGAGGCAGCCAGGUGGGUGCUACAGAUGGUGACCUCUCGGUGGCACAGCCUGGCGCUGCAGCAGAAUGCAGGGUUGGGGGCGGGGUGAAGAAUGGAGUCUGGAUUGUGCCAAAACAGGAGUUUCUAUGUCUGGUCCUGCCACCGACUGCACCUGCAUUGCUGCGUGACCUUGACAGCUACUCCUUCCACACCUGAACGUCCUCAUCUGGAAACUGGACUUGCCUCCUAGGGUUCCUGCAAAUAUAAAAUGAGCUAAUGCCUUUGAGGUGUUUGCUAUUGUCCUGGCACUUGGCAAACACAUGAUAAAUAUUAGCAAUCACUUGCGAGGGGGUGUGGGGUUCGGGGGAGCUUUGCCCCUCCUCCCCCUCUCCAGGGCUGAGCAGCAGUGAAGAGCUUUCUGCAUAAGAGAGAGCAAGAGAGAUAAAUAAACCCACAUCUUCCUCUGAAA
rnacentral:lncRNA from 1 species